rnacentral:misc_RNA from 1 species
GAACGCAAAUUGCACUCUCUGGCAACCCGGGGAGUAUGCCUGUUUGAGGGUCAGUAUUAAUAAAAAUCGGGUGCGUUGCAAUUUUUGUGACGUUUCCGGAGUUUGAGUUAUCUUAAUUAACUUAGGUUUUAAGAGGCUUAAAAUUGACCUUUUUUUGUGCAUUUUAGACGUACAUAAAUUUUUUUUUAUUCCGUCCAUCCUAAUGCCAAAAUCUAUUAGAUGCGACCAUAUCUUGUGGUUCCGUGUCUAUAAAUUUUUCAUGAUUUGACCUCAAAUCAGGUAGGAACACCCGCUGAACUUAAG